CACCAACCCCUCUUUCUCUCUCUCUUUCUCUCUCUCUCUCUCUCAACAAGACCUUCAUACACCAACCCUGUCUUCUCCUCUUGUUCUAGAGAGGACUACAGUCCCAGUGAUCGAUCAAUAUUUAAUCUAUAUCUCCAACGCCGAGGGGCUUAGAGAGAGUACUGCUCAUCUCAAUGCUCAAUAAGUCAAAACGACAUUAACCUAGGCUCUGAUAGGACCCACUGCUCUUGACAGACAGGCCAAAUGAACAGGUUUCGCAUUAGUGUUUACAAUAAAACACAAUCAAAACCCCCUCAUCUAUCGGAUCCAGCGACAGCUUCAGUGUGUGUUCACAGAGCCAGAAACAAUCGCCCUGUAGGAAACUAAACACUGUCUUUAUCUGGGGAAACACACAUUUAAUUAUGAACAAACAUGAACAUUCAGCUUGACAGACUAAUUCAGAUACAGGCAUACAGUUUAUACAUAGUACAUGCAGAUUUGCACACACAAGUUCAAUGCACACACACACAGAUACUGAUGUCGCUAUGAACACACACAUACAGUCUGGCUAUGGGUUCUGACAGGGUGUCUCCAUUAAGAGAUCAUUGAGAUGGCGAGGGAUGAAAACUCAAAGGACAGGAAGGUGUUUGUCCUUGGUCAACCACCGUGGUUACGGAAAUGUACCAUCCAGGGGAUUUGCAUACAUUUCCCUAGCCCACACUCUGUUCCCUUCUCCUCUCUGUUGGUUUACCCAACACCUUCUCCUGGGAAAUUUGGAUACAAGGACGAGGCUGGAGAAAACAACCUUACCAAGAACAAGAAAAUGUAUUAGGAAUAUUCUAGUAGUAAUAAAUUAAUGUUGUGAUGCCUGCUGUAGAUUCACUUCUAUAAUUAAUGAACAUACUUAUGUUAAUCACACAGGUAUGAAGAAUUUCACUACAAUUCCCUCAAUCCAUAAUACACACACUGCAAGAACAACUGACACCACUACCAAACUGCAUAAGAGAUAAAUGUGUCUAUAGAUGUCUAUUAAUGUGAGUAUGAAUGUGUAUGAAUAUAUAUUAAUGUGUCCAUAGAAGUGUCUAUAAAUGUGUCUGAAUGUUUCUAUAGAUGUCUAUAAAUGUGUCUAUGAAUGUUUCAAAUAAUGUGUCUAUGAAUGUGAGUAUGAAUGAGUCUAUAGAUGUGAGUAUGAAUGUGUCUAUAGAUGUGAGUAUGAAUGUGUCUAUAGAUGUGAGUAUGAAUGAGUCUAUAGAUGUGAGUAUGAAUGUGUUUCUGAAUGUGAGUAUGAAUGUGUUUAUGAAUGUGAGUAUGAAUGUGUUUAUGAAUGUGAGUAUGAAUGUGAGUAUGAAUGUGUCUAUAGAUGUGAGUAUGAAUGUGUCUAUAGAUGUGAGUAUGAAUGUGUCUAUAGAUGUGAGUAUGAAUGAGUCUAUAGAUGUGAGUAUGAAUGAGUCUAUAGAUGUGAG
ensembl:lncRNA